UGUGUGUUAGUGGAAGCGUCUGGAAAGGCGCGCGAUACAGGGUGACAGCCCCGUACACAAAAAUGCACAUAUUGUGAGCUCGAUGAGUAGGGCGGGACACGUGGUAUCCUGUCUGAAUAUGGGGGGACCAUCCUCCAAGGCUAAAUACUCCUGACUGACCGAUAGUGAACCAGUACCGUGAGGGAAAGGCGAAAAGAACCCCGGCGAGGGGAGUGAAAAAGAACCUGAAACCGUGUACGUACAAGCAGUGGGAGCCUCUUUUAUGGGGUGACUGCGUACCUUUUGUAUAAUGGGUCAGCGACUUAUAUUCUGUAGCAAGGUUAACCGAAUAGGGGAGCCGAAGGGAAACCGAGUCUUAACUGGGCGUUAAGUUGCAGGGUAUAGACCCGAAACCCGGUGAUCUAGCCAUGGGCAGGUUGAAGGUUGGGUAACACUAACUGGAGGACCGAACCGACUAAUGUUGAAAAAUUAGCGGAUGACUUGUGGCUGGGGGUGAAAGGCCAAUCAAACCGGGAGAUAGCUGGUUCUCCCCGAAAGCU
rnacentral:rRNA from 1 species